GAUGAACGCUAGCGGCAGGCCUAAUACAUGCAAGUCGAGGGGCAGCACAGGUAGCAAUACUGGGUGGCGACCGGCAAACGGGUGCGGAACACGUACGCAACCUUCCUUCAAGCGGGGAAUAGCCCAGAGAAAUUUGGAUUAAUACCCCAUAAGAAUGUGGACUGGCAUCAGUCAGCAUUUAAAGAUUUAUCACUUGAAGAUGGGCGUGCGUCUGAUUAGGUAGUUGGUGAGGUAACGGCUCACCAAGCCAACGAUCAGUAACUGGCGUGA
rnacentral:rRNA from 1 species